AGCAGAUCUGGUAUAAUUGUUACAACUUAAAAUAAUAACUUAUUCAAAUCAGUACUUGUAUCCCCCACCUUCUCACCUCUUCUCCUUUCACCAUCCCCCCCCCUCACAUUCUUCCCCUCUUCCUCCCCCCACACACUAAAUGUAACAAAUAAAUAAAAAAUAAUACAACAAAAAGGGGUUUGUACAGAUCUACACCCUGGUUUCUCAAAGCUAUAUAACCUCUUUUUGUGAUAGUAAAACCUGUCCAACACAAAAAGCCUUUAGCUCUAAUCUGUUUGCUCAGCUGUUGGACAGAACAAGUUAAAAAAGAAGAAAAACAAAAAAACAAAUCAAAACAAAACAAUUAUUUGCACAUUUAGUAGGGGUGCAAUGGAUCAUGGCUGAUUUAACAAUUUUUGCUCUUAUUCCCCCUUGUUUGCAGACAUACUAAUGCAGCUAUAAAUCUGCCCCAACCACCACGUCACAGCUCUGGCUCUGGCUCAGAGAGAUGUCUCUUGCUCUUAGCAAACACUCCCUCAUCUCCCUCCGUCUGUUAAGCAGAGUUGAGUUUCUUUCUCUGUAAGCCCUGCCUGCGCUUUUCUGUCUUUGAUUACGCUCACACGAGUUGUAGCACGGAGCCAUUCAACAACUCAUCUUUUUCUUCAUACUGCUGGGUAAACUCCAGCAGUGGCUUUCAUGGAUUCUCCAUACAAUGGAAACACAUCCCUGCAGACAUCCAUGUCUAACCUCAGUGCCAGCUAUUCCCGACCCUCAGAACCUGAAGAUGACGGAAAAGUUUCCAGUGACACCAUUUGGCUGUGGAUUGCUGUGCUAGCAACCAUUGGCAACAUACUGGUGGUGGCUGUGGUUUGUGCCUGUGCAUUCUGAUGAAGCAGGAGAGUGAAGACACGAUCUUCUACAUCCUAAAAACCCUUUUUUGGCCAAGUAAAAAUUUUAAUUAAUUAAAAUUUGUUACAUUUUUUUGUGUGCCAAUUCCUAUGUUUUUGUCUAAACAUCUCAAGGAGAUAGUGAGGUGGAGCAGAUAUGGGAAUAUCUUAUUUAAAACAAUUGUAAAAAAGAAAAACAAUUAAUGUGUGCAAUCAAUAAGAACAGCAACUAAAGCUAACUUGAAGUACAACUAAAACUUAAAAAUACACUUUGACAUAAUCAAAAUUGUCAACAGGAAAUGAACAACCAAACAGUUUUGUACUAGUUGAUAUGCUAACUGAAUGUUGAGUAAUGCAUCAUGAAAAAUUAAAAAGUUAUUUUAUUGAAAUUAUCUCAGUCUUUUUGUCUUGGUUGGCGGCUUUGCUCCCUCACUCAGUCUUUCUUUGCUCUAUGCACCUUUUUCUGAUUAUUUAAUUCACUUCACCUUUUUGUUCCUCUCUUUUAAGAAUAUCUUGUUCAAUCAUGUUGCCAGAGUGUGAGGGUUGUAUGUCUUGCCUCCAGCACAUAUCCUUGUCCCCAUUGCUUGCCUGGAAUUCUGAACUGUUGUUUUCCCAACAUCUCUACCUUGGAUUUGAUUUUUGGCUGGCAUAUUUGUAUUAGAUGUCCUAGAUUAGAGUUCUACAUUUCAACGUAUGUGUCAAAUGCUCCAUUGUGUUUCUGCAACCCCCUCUUGAAAUAAUGUUACUCCCUAUUUCUCUGCUGUUCCAGAUGGUUAGGAUGAUUCAGAAGUUUCCUACAGAGUACAAAAUUGAUAAGUGAUGGGUGCAUGAAGUUUCAUUAAGCAUUGAAGCCUUCCAUCCAGUUGGUUCAGUCCAGUCCAAAGCUUCUCGAACCUUCAUUUUCCCUAGUAACACAUCUACUGAAAUCAUAAACAUUAAAAUAAAAGUGUGUGACAUUUUGCAGAAAGCCUGUGAGUAAAAAUGUCAGCAAAAUAAAGAAGUAUGCAAAACAUGUA